GAUGAAGAACGUAGCGAAAUGCGAUAAGUAAUGUGAAUUGCAGAAUUCAGCGAAUCAUCGAAUCUUUGAACGCACAUUGCACCUCUCGGUAUUCCGGGAGGUAUGCCUGUUCGAGCGUCAUUUGUACCCUCAAGCUCUGCUUGGUGUUGGGUGUUUGUUCCGCCUCUGUGUGUGAACUCGCCUCAAAACAAUUGGCAGCCGGCGUACUUGUUUCGGAGCGCAGCACAUUUUGCGAUCCAGAUCAACGUACAGCGGCAUCCAAGAAGCCUUAUUUAACGCUCUUGACCUCGGAUCAGGUAGGGAUACCCGCUGAACUUAAGCAUAUCAAUAAGCGGAGGA
rnacentral:misc_RNA from 1 species